UGGGGAAUAUUGGACAAUGGGCGAAAGCCUGAUCCAGCUAUGCCGCAUGAGUGAAGAAGGCCUUCGGGUUGUAAAGCUCUUUUAGUGAGGAAGAUAAUGACGGUACUCACAGAAGAAAGUCCUGGCUAACUCCGUGCCAGCAGCCGCGGUAAUACGGAGAGGGCUAGCGUUAUUCGGAAUUAUUGGGCGUAAAGAGCGCGUAGGCUGGUUAGUAAGUUAAAAGUGAAAUCCCAAGGCUUAACUUUGGAAUUGCUUUUAAAACUGCUAAUCUAGAGGUUGAAAGAGGAUAGAGGAAUUCCUAGUGUAGAGGUGAAAUUCGUAAAUAUUAGGAGGAACACCAGUGGCGAAGGCGUCUAUCUGGUUCAAGUCUGACGCUGAGGCGCGAAGGCGUGGGGGGCAAACAGGAUUAGAUACCCUGGUAGUCCACGCUGUAAACGAUGAAUGCUAAAUAUGGGGAGGGUUACUUUCUGUAUUACAGCUAACGCGUUAAGCAUUCCGCCUGGGGACUACGGUCGCAAGAUU
rnacentral:rRNA from 1 species